GAUGAACGCUGGCGGCGUGCCUAAUACAUGCAAGUCGAACGAGGACCCUUUGUAUUCGUACUGAGGACUCCUAGUGGCGAACGGGUGAGUAACGCGUUGGUGACCUGCCCCGAAGAGGGGGAUAACAGCUCGAAAGGGCUGCUAAUACCCCAUGUGGUCACGAAGAUUAGAUGCUUUGUGACUAAAGGGAGCAAUCCGCUUCGGGAGGGACCUGCGUCCCAUCAGCUAGUUGGUAGGGUAAUGGCCUACCAAGGCGAUGACGGGUAGGGGCCUGAGAGGGUGGCCCCCCACACUGGCACUGAAACACGGGCCAGACACCUACGGGUGGCAGCAGUAGGGAAUAUUGCACAAUGGGCGAAAGCCUGAUGCAGCAACGCCGCGUGCACGAUGAAGGCUCUAGGGUUGUAAAGUGCUUUUCUGGAGGAAGAGAAUGGACGGUACUCCAGGAAUAAGGAUCGGCUAACUACGUG
rnacentral:rRNA from 1 species